UGACAUUAUUUUGUUGAAACUAUCCCUUUAAAAUAAUUCCUUUUAUUGGUGACAGAAACAAUUUAUUGGAAAAAACAUUAAAAAUUCUAAAAAGCAGUUUAUUUUAUUUUGGAGUAAAUAAAUGUUUCAUAAAUAGUUCAUUUUAUUUUGAAAUAUAUUGUUAAUCUGUUAAAAUUAAUUCAUAUGCACCAAUAACUGUUAAAACCUGGGGUAAAAGUGGUUAAAACGGAGAAAAGGAGAAAUAAAGAGAAAAAAGGAAAAAAUAGAGUUGCUGCGGAGGUCUACGUGGGGUGACCCAAUCAGUGAACCCCUGUGGGCUCAGGUGACUGACCUCGUAGGGUCACGUCCGGUUUUCUCUUCCGGUUUUGCGGUCAUGGUUACCUCUGUUGUUUCAUGUGCUACCUGAUGCAAACCGCAAGCAAACCUGUUGCAUCCACGGGAGCUCUGUGAGACCGGAUGAUUUCCGCCGAUCUGGCGCGGCUAAAUCCUGAAACAGUGCUCCUAGCUUGAUCACUCGGUCAGGUUUUUUUUCCCUGUGACAUCAUUAGAUGAUCCACAUCCCACCGUCCAGAGGAGAGAUCCAGCUGGUUUCGUGUGAAGUUCGAGAGAUCCAGAGAGUGGUUCCAGAACCAGAUUAGAACUAGAUUCCCAGCGUGAGCUGGGUGGCGAGCCGCAUUGAACUACUGAUACUGAACUGAGAGUGGAGAAGAAUUCCUUCAUUCCCCCUUCCUCACGGACUGUGUGGUAGGACAGAACAAACAUACACUGAUACACUGACACUUGACACGGAUCCGAAGAAAUAAGGGCCCCAACGGUAACUUUGGGACAAAAAGGGUUUUCAUUUUUGCCGGCUUUAUUAUUUUAGUUUGUUAUUUUCCAUUGAAUGCCUUGCAACAACUGUUGUAUUUUCAUUGUGUUAUUGGUUAAUAAUAAGUGGCCACA